AGAGUUUGAUCCUGGCUCAGAUUGAACGCUGGCGGCAUGCCUUACACAUGCAAGUCGAACGGCAGCAUGGGAGCUUGCUCCUGAUGGCGAGUGGCGAACGGGUGAGUAAUAUAUCGGAACGUACCCUAGAGUGGGGGAUAACGCAGCGAAAGUUGCGCUAAUACCGCAUACGAUCUACGGAUGAAAGUGGGGGAUCGCAAGACCUCAUGCUCAUGGAGCGGCCGAUAUCUGAUUAGCUAGUUGGUGGGGUAAAAGCCUACCAAGGCAUCGAUCAGUAGCUGGUCUGAGAGGACGACCAGCCACACUGGAACUGAGACACGGUCCAGACUCCUACGGGAGGCAGCAGUGGGGAAUUUUGGACAAUGGGCGCAAGCCUGAUCCAGCAAUGCCGCGUGAGUGAAGAAGGCCUUCGGGUUGUAAAGCUCUUUUGUCAGGGAAGAAACGGUGAGCUCUAAUACAGUUUGCUAAUGACGGUACCUGAAGAAUAAGCACCGGCUAACUACGUGCCAGCAGCCGCGGUAAUACGUAGGGUGCAAGCGUUAAUCGGAAUUACUGGGCGUAAAGCGUGCGCAGGCGGUUAUGUAAGUCAGAUGUGAAAUCCCCGGGCUCAACCUGGGAAUGGCAUUUGAGACUGCAUGGCUAGAGUGUGUCAGAGGGGGG
rnacentral:rRNA from 1 species